GAAUGCUCCGAUUUGGGGUCUCCGGGAAUGCUCCGGAUACCUCGGGAUGAGCCGCUUUGGGGUGCCCUGGGAUGCCCCAGUCCGGGAUUCCCAGGGAUUCUCUGCUUUGGGGUGCCCGGGAAUGUUUUGGAUACCUGGGAAUGCUUUGGAUACCUGGGAAUGCUCUGGUUUGGGGUUCCCACAGGUUCCGGUUUGGGGUUCCCCUGGAAUGCUCCGGUUGGGGAUUCCCAGGGAUGCUCCCAUUUGGGAUCCUCAGUUUGGGGUCCCCAGGGAAGCCUCGGUCUGGGAUUCCCAGGGAUGCUCCGCCUUGGGGUCUCCGGGAAUGCUCCGGAUACCUCGGGAUGAGCCGCUUUGGGGUGCCCUGGGAUGUCCCAGUCCGGGAUUCCCAGGGAUUCUCUGCUUUGGGGUGCCCGGGAAUGUUUUGGAUACCUGGGAAUGCUCUGGUUUGGGGCUCCCACAGGUUCCGGUUUGGGGUUCCCCUGGAGUGCUCCGGUUGGGGAUUCCCAGGGAUGCUCCCAUUUUGGGAUCCUCAGUUUGGGGUCCCCAGGGAAGCCCCGGUCUGGGAUUCCCAUUUGGGAUGCUCCGAUUUGGGGUCCCCAGGGAAGCCCCGGUCUGGGAUUCCCAGGGAUGUUCCGAUUUGGGGUCCCCAGGGAGGCCUCAGUUUGGGGUCACCGGAGACACUCCGGAUACCUGGGAACGCUCCGGAUUGGGAUCCCCGGGAAAGCUUUGGAUACCCCGGAAUGCUCCGAUUUGGGGUCCCCAGGGAUGCUCCGGAUACCUCGGGAUGAGCCGCUUUGGGGUGCCCUGGGAUGUCCCAGUCCGGGAUUCCCAGGGAUUCUCUGCUUUGGGGUGCCCGGGAAUGUUUUGGAUACCUGGGAAUGCUUUGGAUACCUGGGAAUGCUCUGGUUUGGGGUUCCCACAGGUUCCGGUUUGGGGUUCCCCUGGAAUGCUCCGGUUGGGGAUUCCCAGGGAUGCUCCCAUUUUGGGAUCCUCAGUUUGGGGUCCCCAGGGAAGCCCCGGUCUGGGAUUCCCAGGGAUGCUCCGCCUUGGGGUCUCCGGGAAUGCUCCGGAUACCUCGGGAUGAGCCGCUUUGGGGUGCCCUGGGAUGUCCCAGUCCGGGAUUCCCAGGGAUUCUCUGCUUUGGGGUGCCCGGGAAUGUUUUGGAUACCUGGGAAUGCUCUGGUUUGGGGCUCCCACAGGUUCCGGUUUGGGGUUCCCCUGGAGUGCUCCGGUUGGGGAUUCCCAGGGAUGCUCCCAUUUUGGGAUCCUCAGUUUGGGGUCCCCAGGGAAGCCCCGGUCUGGGAUUCCCAUUUGGGAUGCUCCGAUUUGGGGUCCCCAGGGAAGCCCCGGUCUGGGAUUCCCAGGGAUGCUCCGAUUUGGGGUCCCCGGGGGUGCUCAGGGUCCCCAGGGAUGCCCCAUUCGGGGUCCCAGGGAUGCCCCAUUCGGGGUCCCGGGGAUGCCCCAUUUGGGGUCCCCAGGGAUGCCCCAUUUGGGGUCCCAGGGAUGCCCCAUUCGGGGUCCCGGGGAUGCCCCAUUUGGGGUCCCCAGGGAUGCCCCAUUUGGGAUCCCCAGGGAUGCCCCAUUUGGGGUCCCAGGGAUGCCCCAUUCGGGAUCCCCAGGGAUGCUCCGGUUUGGGAUCCCCAGGGAUGCCCCAUUUGGGGUCCCCAGGGAUGCCCCAUUUGGGGUCCCAGGGAUGCUUCACUUUGGGAUCCCCAGGGAUGCCCCAUUUGGGGUCCCCAGAGAUGCCCCAUUUGGGGUCCCAGAGAUGCCCCAUUUGGGGUCCCAGGGAUGCCCCAUUCGGGAUCCCCAGGGAUGCCCCAUUUGGGGUCCCAGGGAUGCCCCAUUUGGGGUCCCCAGGGAUGCCCCAUUUGGGGUCCCAGGGAUGCUUCACUUUGGGAUCCCCAGGGAUGCCCCAUUCGGGAUCCCCAGGGAUGCCCCAUUUGGGGUCCCAGGGAUGCCCCAUUUGGGGUCCCCAGGGAUGCCCCAUUUGGGGUCCCAGGGAUGCUUCACUUUGGGAUCCCCAGGGAUGCCCCAUUUGGGGUCCCCAGGGAUGCCCCAUUUGGGGUCCCAGAGAUGCCCCAUUUGGGGUCCCAGGGAUGCCCCAUUUGGGGUCCCCAGGGAUGCCCCAUUUGGGGUCCCCAGGGAUGCCCCAUUUGGGGUCCCCAGGGAUGCCCCAUUUGGGGUCCCCAGGGAUGCCCCAUUUGGGGACAGGGGCUGCAGGAGCCCCCUCUGCACCCCCCGGGCAGGAGCAGCGGCAGGGAGGGGACACAGGGGACGCAUUUUGGGGUCAUUUCCCGCCCUCCCACCCCUCACCCCGUUCCUCUCCCCCCUAAGGCAGCCCCAAACCCCUCUAUGGGGCCGCGGAAAGGGAUCCCAAUCCUUCCCUUCCCCUUUCACCCCCUGUUCCCUCUCACCCUUUUGUGGUUUUGUGGGUUUUUCUCUAUUUAG
rnacentral:lncRNA from 1 species